rnacentral:lncRNA from 1 species
UAUGAGCAAUGUUGAUGUCAACACUAACAUUGAUGUUUGGCAUUGUCGAUUAGGGCGUAUUCCUACUUCUAAACUGUCACUUUUACACAAGAUUGUACCUGCAAUCACUUUCAGUAAACAAUUGCACUGUACAAUAUGUCCCAUGGCCAAGCAACACAGGUUACCUUUCUCUCAUAGUGAAACUAAAGCUUCCAAAAUGUUUGACCCGAUUC